rnacentral:rRNA from 1 species
CCCGAGAGUGGUGGAUAACCUGCCGAAAGGCGGGCUAAUACAGCAUACGACCGGCGGCUUUCGAGCGGCCGGUGAAAGCAGGCCUCUGUACACACGCUUGCGCUCUCGGUUGGGUCCGCGGCCCAUCAGCUAGUUGGCGAGGUAAUGGCUCACCAAGGCGACGACGGGUAGCUGGUCUGAGAGGAUGGCCAGCCACACUGGAACUGAGACACGGUCCAG